rnacentral:rRNA from 1 species
UACGUAGGGUGCAAGCGUUGUCCGGAAUUAUUGGGCGUAAAGAGCUCGUAGGCGGUUUGUCGCGUCUGCUGUGAAAACUCAGGGCUUAACUCUGAGCUUGCAGUGGGUACGGGCAGACUAGAGUGCGGUAGGGGAGACUGGAAUUCCUGGUGUAGCGGUGAAAUGCGCAGAUAUCAGGAGGAACACCGGUGGCGAAGGCGGGUCUCUGGGCCUUACCUGACGCUGAGGAGCGAAAGCGUGGGUAGCGAACAGG